ensembl:lncRNA
CCUGCCUAUCUGCUCCCUGCUUUGCCCAUGGCCCAGUGAGCCUUUUAUUCUUCACCCCCGGACUUGCACGUGUGGAUAACAGCAUCUGCUUAUGUGCGCUUCUUUUCUGCUUGUGGUGUCAGGCUGAGCGACAGCUCCCAGCCGAGCUUGUGCUUAGCGAGACACAGAGUAGCUGGAGAUGGAGUUCUCUGUGUCACUAAAGCAUGAGCUUGAUGGCUGCCGUGAGCCAAAGCAUCAGAGUUUCUGUGUUUGAUUUCUGUGUUGGGCUGAGCGGGUAGAGCAGGGCAAGGGGGCUGAUUUGGACGUGCUGCUUUCCAAAUACGGUGCUGUUUGUGUGGCAAGUGCUUCUGGCAUUCCAAAUUGUGUCAGAUGUCAAUGAAUUCCUUGGAAUCUGCUGAGUUGACUUGUGCAGGUUUCAUUCUGGAGCUGAACCCUUCCUGGCCGCUUCUGUGCAUAGCCAUGGCUGUUGCUUCUUUCUUGCCUCCUUUCUUUGUUGUGUUUGGCACUGUGCAAGCCGUGAAUUGCCAGGGAGCAGCUGAAAGUGCUCUGGAGUUGUGGGGGGCAAACUGCCAAGAAACAAGGUGCAGCUUCAAAGCCCCGAAGUUUGGAGAGAUGAGAGAUGCACAGCGCUCUGCCUGGUGCAGGACAUGAUGUGCUCUGCAAGGCGCUUUCCACAAAGCCCUCACGUCCUUUCUCAAACUGCAUCCAAAGCAACCCAGUGCCCUGUGCUUGUUGUACCCGGAGGUAUCGGUGCCAGGAGUUGCUGCUGUGUUUGCAAUGCCAUUGUGUCGGCAGGGUGACGUUAAUGGGCUGCAAUGCCCUCAGUCAUUCAAAGCAUCCUUGCAGAUGUUCCUAGUGAGGGGCAUGUUUCAUUGACACCAUAGGUUGUUUCCUGGAAAAUGAAAGAGUGGGCUUGCGUACCUCCAGAUGGUUUUCAUUUCCUGCUGAGCCCAGUGCACUUCACGUCUGCUGCCAUUGCCCCACGGCCCUGUUGUGGUUUAAGCCGGUGGGUGGCUCAGCACCACACAGUCCUUUGCUUACUGCCCCCUUCCCAGUGGGAUGGGGGAGAGAAUUAUGGGGGGGAAAAAAAAG